rnacentral:snoRNA from 1 species
GGAUCGAUGAUGACACCCACAAACGCUUUCCUUGGAAAAUCUGAACAAAAUGAGUGAGAACUCACUACCGUCUCCUCAUCGAAACUGUGGUCC